ACGGAAGGCAGCAGUGAGGAAUAUUGGUCAAUGGACGGAAGUCUGAACCAGCCAAGUCGCGUGAAGGAUGAAGGUAUUAUGUAUUGUAAACUUCUUUAGCAGUGGAGUAAUAAGGGGAUCGUGAUCCCUGAUGCAAGUACACUGAGAAUAAGGAUCGGCUAACUCCGUGCCAGCAGCCGCGGUAAUACGGAGGAUCCGAGCGUUAUCCGGAUUUAUUGGGUUUAAAGGGAGCGCAGGCGGCCUUUUAAGCGUGUUGUGAAAUGUAGGGGCUCAACCUCUGCACUGCAGCGCGAACUGGAGGGCUUGAGUACGCGGGAAGUAGGCGGAAUUCGUCGUGUAGCGGUGAAAUGCUUAGAUAUGACGAAGAACUCCGAUUGCGAAGGCAGCCUACUGUAGCGUUACUGACGCUAAAGCUCGAAAGUGUGGGUAUCGAACAGGAUUAGAUACCCUGGUA
rnacentral:rRNA from 1 species